AGAAUUUUAAUGGUCGAACAGACCAACCCUUAAAGACGGCUGCAUCUUCAGGAUAUUCUGGUCCAACAUCGAGGUCACAAGCCUUUUUUUCGAUAAGAACUCUCAAAAAAGAUUAUGCUGUUAUCCCUACGGUAACUAAUUCCUUUAAUCAGAAAUUCUGGAUCAUUGUGUGUCUACUUUUUUCUAGGAAGAAGCUUUAUUUGUUCCUUAGUCGCCCCAACCAAAAUUUUUAUAGGUAAAGGUUUUAAUUAACUAUACCUACUAGCCCUAUAAUUACUUUAAAGCUCGAUAGGGUCUUCUUGUCUUUUAAUUAAAUUUAGGCUUCUUCAGCUAAAGAUUAAAUUUUAUAAAAUUGUAUAGAGACAGCUUUGCUCUUGUCAAACCAUUCAUACUAGCCCUCAAUUAUAGGGCAAAUGAUUAUGCUACCUUUGCACGGUCAGAGUACCGCGGCCGUUAAAGAUUUUCUCACUGGGCAGGUCCGACUCUUUAUAUUUUUAUAGUCAAAGAGCC
rnacentral:rRNA from 1 species